GACGAACGCUGGCGGCGUGCCUAAUACAUGCAAGUAGAACGCACAGUUUAUACCGUAGCUUGCUACACCAUAGACUGUGAGUUGCGAACGGGUGAGUAACGCGUAGGUAACCUGCCUGGUAGCGGGGGAUAACUAUUGGAAACGAUAGCUAAUACAGCAUAAUAUUAAUUAUUGCAUGAUAAUUAAUUGAAAGGUGCAAUUGCACCACUACCAGAUGGACCUGCGUUGUAUUAGCUAGUAGGUGAGGUAACGGCUCACCUAGGCGACGAUACAUAGCCGACCUGAGAGGGUGGUCGGCCACACUGGGACUGAGACACGGCCCAGACUCCUACGGGAGGCAGCAGUAGGGAAUCCUCGGCAAUGGACGAAAGUCUGACCGAGCAACGCCGCGUGAGUGAAGAAGGUUUUCGGAUCGUAAAGCUCUGUUGUAAGGGAAGAACGGGAGUGAGAGUGGAAAGUUCACACUGUGACGGUAUCUUACCAGAAAGGGACGGCUAACUACGUG
rnacentral:rRNA from 1 species